rnacentral:rRNA from 1 species
AUACGUAGGGGGCGAGCGUUGUCCGGAAUGAUUGGGCGUAAAGGGCGCGUAGGCGGCCUGUUAAGUCUGGAGUGAAAGUCCUGUUUUCAAGAUGGGAAUUGCUUUGGAUACUGCCGCGCUUGAGUGCAGGAGAGGUUAUCGGAAUUCCCGGUGUAGCGGUGAAAUGCGUAGAGAUCGGGAGGAACACCAGUGGCGAAGGCGGGUAACUGGACUGCAACUGACGCUGAGGCGCGAAAGUGUGGGGAGCAAACAGGAUUAGAUACCCUGGUAGUCCACACUGUAAACGAUGAAUGCUAGGUGUAAGAGGUAUCGACCCCUUUUGUGCCGGAGUCAACACAAUAAGCAUUCCGCCUGGGGAGUACGGCCGCAAGGUUGAAACUCAAAUGAAUUGACGGGG